rnacentral:ncRNA from 2 species
UUCUUAUCCAGAGCGGCGGAGGGACUGGCCCGAUGAAGCCCGGCAACCGUCACGAGGUGCGUGACCAGGUGCCAAUUCCUGCAAGACAGAGGUCUUGACAGAUAAGAA